rnacentral:rRNA from 1 species
UACGGGGGGGUAAGCGUUGUUCGGAAUUACUGGGCGUAAAGCGUGCGCAGGCGGUUGUGCAAGACAGAUGUGAAAUCCCCGGGCUUAACCUGGGAACUGCAUUUGUGACUGCACAGCUGGAGUGCGGCAGAGGGGGAUGGAAUUCCGCGUGUAGCAGUGAAAUGCGUAGAUAUGCGGAGGAACACCGAUGGCGAAGGCAACCCCCUGGGGCCUGCACUGACGCUCAUGCACGAAAGUGUGGGGAGCGAACAGG